rnacentral:rRNA from 1 species
AUUGAACGCUGGCGGCAUGCCUUACACAUGCAAGUCGAACGGCAGCAUGGAGAGCUUGCUCUCUGAUGGCGAGUGGCGAACGGGUGAGUAAUGCAUCGGAACGUACCGUGUAAUGGGGGAUAACGUAGCGAAAGUUACGCUAAUACCGCAUACGACCUGAGGGUGAAAGCAGGGGAUCGCAAGACCUUGCGUUAUACGAGCGGCCGAUGUCAGAUUAGCUAGUUGGUGAGGUAAAGGCUCACCAAGGCGACGAUCUGUAGCGGGUCUGAGAGGAUGAUCCGCCACACUGGGACUGAGGCACGGCCCAGAGUCCUGCGGGAGGCAGCAGUGGGGAAUUUUGGACAAUGGGGGCAACCCUGAUCCAGCCAUGCCGCGUGAGUGAAGAAGGCCUUCGGGUUGUAAAGCUCUUUCGGCCGGGAAGAAAUCGCACAGGCUAAUACUCUGUGUGGAUGACGGUACCGGCAUAAGAAGCACCGGCUAACUACGUGCCAGCAGCCGCAGUAA